rnacentral:rRNA from 1 species
UGGGUCCAACCUCCCACCCGUGUUUAUUUUACCUUGUUGCUUCGGCGGGCCCGCCUUAACUGGCCGCCGGGGGGCUUACGCCCCCGGGCCCGCGCCCGCCGAAGACACCCUCGAACUCUGUCUGAAGAUUGUAGUCUGAGUGAAAAUAUAAAUUAUUUAAAACUUUCAACAACGGAUCUCUUGGUUCCGGCAUCGAUGAAGAACGCAGCGAAAUGCGAUACGUAAUGUGAAUUGCAAAUUCAGUGAAUCAUCGAGUCUUUGAACGCACAUUGCGCCCCCUGGUAUUCCGGGGGGCAUGCCUGUCCGAGCGUCAUUUCUGCCCUCAAGCACGGCUUGUGUGUUGGGCCCCGUCCUCCGAUCCCGGGGGACGGGCCCGAAAGGCAGCGGCGGCACCGCGUCCGGUCCUCGAGCGUAUGGGGCUUUGUCACCCGCUCUGUAGGCCCGGCCGGCGCUUGCCGAUCAACCCAAAUUUUUAUCCAGGUUGACCUCGGAUCAGGUAGGGAUACCCGCUGAACUUAAGCAUAUCAAUAAGCAGAGGAA